GAUGAAGAACGCAGCGAAAUGCGAUACGUAAUGUGAAUUGCAGAAUUCAGUGAAUCAUCGAGUCUUUGAACGCACAUUGCGCCCCCUGGUAUUCCGGGGGGCAUGCCUGUCCGAGCGUCAUUGCUGCUCUCAAGCACGGCUUGUGUGUUGGGCCUCCGUCCUCCUCCCGGGGGACGGGCCCGAAAGGCAGCGGCGGCACCGCGUCCGGUCCUCGAGCGUAUGGGGCUUCGUCACCCGCUCUUGUAGGCCCGGCCGGCGCUUGCCGACACAUCAAUCUUUUUUCCAGGUUGACCUCGGAUCAGGUAGGGAUACCCGCUGAACUUAAGCAUAUCAAUAAGCGGAGGA
rnacentral:misc_RNA from 1 species